rnacentral:piRNA from 1 species
UCCAAUGUUCUGGCCCAGCAGAUGGGGGGGU